AUUGAACGCUGGCGGCAGGCCUAACACAUGCAAGUCGAGCGGAGCGGCGGACGGGGGAGUAAUGCCUAGGAAUCUGCCUGGAAGUGGGGGAUAACGUCCGGAAACGGGCGCUAAUACCGCAUAAUAUAAGAUGAGUCUAGGUCGGAUUAGCUAGUUGGUGGGGUAAAGGCCUACCAAGGCGGCGAUCCGUAACUGGUCUGAGAGGAUGAUCAGUCACACGGGAACUGAGAAACGGUCCAGUCUCCUACGGGAGGCAGAAGGGGGGAAUAUUGGACAAUGGGCGAAAGCCUGAGCCAGCCAUGCCGCGUGUGUGAAGAAGGUCUUCGGAUUGUAAAGCACUUUAAGUUGGGAGGCGUUACCAACAGAAUAAGCACCGGCUAACUUCGUGCCAGCAGCCGCGGUAAUUC
rnacentral:rRNA from 1 species